UAGAACCAGAAAGUUAAGCGUGCUCGGGCUGAAGUAGUGAAAUGAUGGGUGAUCGGCGGGGAAGUUAGACGAUUUGAAAUGAGUGAUCCAUGCUAGAGCAGUGAGGAUGGGUGAUUAGAGGUUAAAUUGUCAAAUAAUUCAAAGAUUAGAAAAUUGGAAUAAAACAUAAAAAAAUAUUCAAAAAUAAAAUUUGAAAAAAA
rnacentral:lncRNA from 1 species